CCUCCUCCUCCUUCGCUUCGCCGAUCCGUUCCGUUCCGUUCCGUUACGUCCGGUUCCGCGGCCUGUUUCUCCGCUUCGGAACUCGCAUUGCUCGCUCUCAUCUUGCCGGUGGUGGUGGAUCCUGCUUCUCUGGCCUCGUCCGGAAGGGCGGGUGUUUAGAGAAGGGGGGAAGGUGGGAUACUCUUGUUGCUGGAUUGAUCUAAUUGGUGCACGAGAUAAUUAUUUAAUGCUUCUGCAGACGGACAGUACAUUCGGAGCUCUCGAUUUUAAUAUUAGGAUGUACCAGUUCCUGUAGUAUAAUGCAUAUCUCUAUAGGAUGAAUUAAUUAAUAUAUUCGUUGGAUAGUCAAUGUAUCCUUUA